rnacentral:rRNA from 1 species
UACGUAGGGUGCAAGCGUUAAUCGGAAUUACUGGGCGUAAAGCGCACGUAGGCGGCUUUGUAAGUUAGAGGUGAAAGCCCGGGGCUCAACUCCGGAAUUGCCUUUAAGACUGCAUCGCUAGAAUUGUGGAGAGGUAAGUGGAAUUCCGAGUGUAGAGGUGAAAUUCGUAGAUAUUCGGAAGAACACCAGUGACGAAGGCGACUACCUGGCCUGUUCUUGACGCUGAGGCGGCGAAAAGCUAGGGGAGCAAACGGG